rnacentral:lncRNA from 1 species
AAACAGAGAGCUAACAAAUUAUAUAACAGUGUGUAGCAGCUGUACGUGGUGGGGAGGUAUAUAACAGUGUGUCAUCAGCUGUACGUGGUGGGGAGGUAUACAAACAGAGCAUAACAAGUUAUAUAACAGUGUGUAAUCAGCUGUACAUGGUGGGGGGUAUACAAACAGAGCAUAACAAGUUAUAUAACAGUGUGUAAUCAGCUGUACGUGGUGGGGAGGUAUACAAACAGAGCAUAACAAGCUUAUAUAACAGUGUGUAAUCAGCUGUACAUGGUGGGGAGGUAUACAAACAGAGCAUAACAAGUUAUAUAACAGUGUGUAAUCAGCUGUACGUGGUGGGGAGGUAUACAAACAGAGCAUAACAAGUUAUAUAACAGUGUGUAAUCAGCUGUACAUGGUGGGGAGGUAUAUAACAGUGUGUAAUCAGCUGUACAUGGUGGGGAGGUAUACAAACAGAGCAUAACAAGUUAUAUAACAGUGUGUAAUCAGCUGUACAUGGUGGCGAGGU